AUAUCAUCGCACUGCUCUCCACUAUAUUAGUGAUAUCAGUGAUAGUGAAUAUAAUAAUGGUGCUGUCAUGGAGAAGAACUGCACACAGAGGUGUUGGCGUGGCCCAAUCUACAGUCCUGACUGCUGACAGAGACUCAGAAAAUUAUGCAUCGCUGAAGUUUUCUUCACACCAGCCUACAUGUAAAAUAAAAAGCCACAAAGAGGUAGAUUCUGUGGUCUAUGCGUCUGUCCGUCAAACAAGAAGUGUUAAAUAAGGAUUUGCUCAUUCUUAAUGCUUGUCAUGUUGUAACUGUGUGAAUAAGAUAAUGAAUGUUAUUAAAUAUUUAAAUGAAUGUCACAUUCAUCAUGUGGUCUCAAAUAAUACGAGCAUCACAUCAUUCAGCUGCAAUAUUAAGUCUUGUAUUUGGAUCUUAAUGCAGUCUUAAUGCACGUGGUCUUAAAAUUUUGUCUUAUAGGGCCUAUAUCUUAUAAUAGCAUUUAUGUGGCAUUGUAGUGUCUCCAUGUAAUUCAGUGUCAUUAAUAUGUUUAAAUAUACACA